UUCCCGGGCCCACAUGCCAGCCAACGAGCCCUUCUCGCUCCUCCUCCUCCUUCCAUUUCUCGCGUCCCCAUUUCCUCCCACCAAAUACGGCACCGUGAUCCGCCACCAGCCCGCCGGCCGAUCCCCGGCCGGCCAUGGCCGCCGACUCCGCCGCCCGCUGCCCGUGGGACGAGCUCCCGGCGCACCUCCAGGAGCGCAUCCUCUCCCGCCUGCCGCUCACCGCGCUCGUCCCCGUCGCCGCCGUCUCCCGGGCGCUGCGCCGCCUCCUGCGCUCCCCGGCCUUCCACGCCCUCCUCUCCCAGCACCGCCUCGACGCCUUCUUCCUCCUCUCGCCGCGCCUCGCCUUCCACCCGCUCUCCCGGCGCCUCCUCCAGGUGCCCCCCUCGCCCCCGCUCGAUCCAUCUUGCCCUCCCCUCAUCUCCUCCGCCUCCCCCUCCUUCCUUGUCACCGCCGACUCGCUCCUCCGCCUCCCAGCGCUCCCCGACCGCUCCUACCUCAUCGCUGUCGUCGUCCCACCCUCACCCUCCUCCUCCAGCCGGGAUUACACCCUCGUCGCCGUCACCACCAACGGCGCCGCUGUCCGCUCGUAUUCCCUGGACUCCGCCGAUCCCUCCCCACGGUGGGUACCUGGGGCCGAGCUCCCGCUACCAUUUGCGAUCCUUGGCAAUGCUGCGGUCGCCAGUGACCGUGCUCGGCUCUUUGUGCUCGGCCGGGGUCCGGACGCACUUCUGGUGCUUGAUCUCGAGACCAGGAAGUGGGCUGCUCCGCCAGUUGUGAUGCCGCACGGCCUUACAACGGCGCACCUGUUUGUUCUCGAUGAUCGGCUGUUCUUGGUCGGUGGGGUGGAGAGGCUCGGGGUGCUGGAGCGGGUGGUGGUGUGGCAGUUGGACAACGACGAGGCAGUGGGAUGGGUGGAGGUAGCCGCAAUGCCGCCGGAGGUGUUCGAUGAGUUGGUGGCUGGUAGGCAUGGCAGUUUCUGGCACUUUCAGGCUGCGGACAGAAUGGGGACUCUUUGUCUGUACAAUGCUUUAGAUGGGAGGCUGGUGAUGUUUGAUGCGGUGGAUUGUGUAUGGACGAUGAUGCCACGAGUGUCUGGGUUAGGAGCCGGGGAGAGCCAAAUGUGGUUUGGGCAUGUCUUGGAGCCAGGCGUCGGCCUCUUGCUGGGACAACGCAGCCCGUGUUCAUGAGGAAAUAUCUAACUUCAAGAUUCAAAGCCAUCAUGAUGUUGGAGAACUAACACAGUGGGCUGCCCGGGAAUUGAUGGACCUGCUGCUGAUCAUGGGCUAGACUUGGUGUUAUUUCAGCUGGUAGCUGGCCUUUGAUUUCUAGACUAGAAGGAACCGCGGGAGUGAAUCUUCAGGUGGCAUAACAUGUAUAGGGGUCGACUAAAAUAGAAGCGCCACCCUUGUGGAAAGGAUCUACUAAUUGCCAGUUGAACAAUGAUCUAAGGAUCACAUCGUCGCACAUAACCAGAAGGUGUGUGGUUACAAAGCUCCGGAGUAUGCAUCUCAAGGAGUUUACUCGCUGAAGACAGAUGUGUUCAGCUUUGGCCUUUUGGUUCUGGUGAUUAUUAGUGUCCGAAAGAAUACCAUACUCGACAAGCAAGGAGAUACUAUUGGUGUGCACGAGAUGCCUGGCGUAUGUGGAAGGAACAAAGGUUGCAUGAGCCUGUGGAUCCGUUGUUUGGGAAUGGGUAUGAAGUCGCCGAGAUAAUGAAUUGUGCUCAGGUGGCACUGCUUUGUGCUCAGGAAGAUCCAGCAGAUCGACCCACCAUGACAGAUGUUGCUGCAAGCUUGCAAUGCUGAACUCUGAAAGCGCAUAAGCUUACCAAUGGAGCCUAAGCAGCCUGGUGCGCUGAUCCAUGGGUGUGCUGACAGAGACACGACAUUGACAUACAUGGGCCAAUCAAGCAGGACAAUAGACAUAACCAUAACGAGUUCCGCUCCAAUGUCGACUAGAGUUCGAAUCAUUCUGGCCCCGGAGGUUUGAUAUGAUGAACAAAAUUCAGUACCAUAUAUAAUACAAAAUGUGAGUAAGGAUUGUGGGCUUUUUACGGGUCAUGUAGCGUACACAUUCGAGAUAUUGAGAGCAAUUUUGCAGAGUGAAAAUAAACAUGUUUCUGUGGUACCAGCUACCAGGCUGCUUUUCCAUCAGCUGCAUUGUAGUAAUUCAGAUAUACGAUGUUUCAUGUUACUAUUACAGUUUCAGCGAAGUUUGCUCGGGAUUGCUCGUAUUUGGGAACAGUUAUGGGGACAUGGAGAAGGGCAUAAGAAAAAUGUUUGCAUACUGAAACUGAUAGUUAGCCGGCACAUUCAAGUUGAGAAAUGAGAAAUCAUCAAACAUCAACUUGACAAGCAGCAACCACCAACCGAGAGUUAAGAGAAAUCAUCAAACAUCAACUUGACAAGCUACUUGGGCUGGCCGCUCUGGACAGGUGUAUUUGGAGGCAGAAAUCUAGGUAUUUAGGGUUAAGAGAAGGCGAUUGCAACACCCAGUUUUUUCGCAUGAAAGCAACAUCCAGAAGGACGAAGAAUAUUAUCCCUAGUCUGUGCGUUGAUGUUGUUGACAUUGCUGAUCAAACUAAGGAGGAGGAAUGUAUCUGGUCGAGAUCUGCUGCCUUGAACUUCAAUGCUCUAGGUUUUCAGCCUUGCGACCUUUCUCACCUGGACAACAACUUUACUGAGAAGGAAAUAAAGAGUGCUAUUUUUGAUCUUCACCCAGAAAAAGCUCCCGGGCCUGAUGGAUUUACUGGGCACUUCUUUCGAAGUUGCUGGGACACCGUGAAGCCGGAUCUAUUGGCCGCUUUCUCUCACUUCUAGAACCUCAACUCGCAAAAAUUGUUCCUUCUUAACAGUGCCAUCAUCACUCUAUUGCCGAAGCAUGCUGGUGCUAGCAGACCACAAGACUUUAGGCCUAUAAGGCUUAUACAUUUCUUUGCCAAGCUUGCUGCCAAGAUUCUUGCGACUAGGUUGCAACCUCAGAUGGAUAAGCUUGUUUCCCAAUGCCAAAAUGCUUUCAUAAAGGGUCGAAGCAUUCAUGACAACUUCGUGUAUGACGCGUAAAAAAAAAACAACUUCGUGUAUGUGCAAUCCAUGGCAAAGGUGCUCAGACAAAAAAAAUUCCAUCGAUUAUGUUCAAGUUGGAUCUGGCCAAGGCUUUCGAUUCUGUGUCUUGGGAGUUCCUUCUCAGCCUACUGGAAAUUAGAGGAUUUGGGCCGAAGUGGAGGGAGUGGAUUUCUGCUCUUUUCCUUACCUCCUCCACCAAGGUCUUGGUUAAUUCGGCACUUACUGAUCAGAUUCUGCAUCGCAAGGGACUUAGACAAGGGGACCCCCUAUCCCCCCUUCUUUUUGUCUUGGUGGUUGAGUGUCUUGUAGAUUGAUGGAUACAGCACAAGCUCAUGGUGUCCUAGCCCCGCUUGGUACACAGACUAUUAGACACCGGGCUUCUAUUUAUGCCGAUGAUGUGAUUAUCUUCAGCAAACCAUUACUCUCUGAGAUUAAUGCCGUCUCUCAAAAUCUGAACCUCUUUGGCAAUGUCACUGGUCUGAAGACUACUAUGGUCAAGAGCAAAAUCAUUCCCAUCCAGUGCGAGCACAUCGACCUCUCGGACAUUCAGACUGCGCUGGGAUGUCAGCUUGGUAGUUUCCCUUGUACUUACCUUGGGAUGCCACUGUCUGAUAGGAGGCUCAAAUGGCAGCUUCUCAUUGAAAAAAUUAUGAAGAAAAUCGCUGGGUGGAAGGCUCGAUGGAUAUCUACUCCUGGGCGUGUCACUCUUGUAAGAUUUGUGCUCUCCGCCAUGCCCAUCUUCCAGUUGCUGGCAGUGGAACAACCCAAAUGGGUUUUCAAGCAGAUUGAUAGAUUGCGGAGGGCUUUCUUAUGGGCUGGUUCAGACUCGGUCAGUGGAGGCAAAUGUUUAGUGAGGUGGUCUCUGGUUUGCUCUUCCCUGGAGCUUGGUGGUCUGGGAAUUCAUGACAUAUACAGACAAAGCAGGCUUUGAAGGUCAGAUGGCUUUGGCAGAAUGCUUCCUGUCUUGACAAACCUUGGCAUGGGCUACCCCUACCUAUUGACAAGGAGAUCAAGAAUCUUUUCUGUGCAUCUACGUCCUGGGAGAUCGGCAGCGGCACUGGCAUAUCUUUUUGGCAUGAUCACUGGCUUGAAGGGAUCGCCCCUUCAUUGGCUUACCCCAAACUUUUCAAUCAUAGUAAAAGGAGGAACAUCACUCUUUCUCAGGGUAUAAACAACAGAUUUUGGGUCAGCUUGAUUAAGCCAAACCCAUGCAUGGAAGUGAUUGCUGAGUAUUUGGACUUUUGGCAACGUGCUGAUCAGGUGGUGCUCUCCCAAGCCGAUGACAAAAUCAUUUGGAAAUGGACCUCCAACAAGAUUUACUCUGCUAAUUCUGCAUACCAUUGCCAGUUCAUUGGCCGGAUUUACACCCCUCUCUCACAACUUAUUUUGGAAGAUCAAGAUACCACAAAAGGUGAAGUUCUUUGUGUGGCUCGCCAUUCAAGGUAAAUGCCUAACUGCGGAUAACCUCGCAAAAAGAAAUUGGCCACACAUCCCUGUGUGUCCACUGUGCUGCAUUGGUUUGGAGUCUGCUAUUCACCUUUUUGGAACUUGCCCGUUCACUGCUGCUGUAUGGGGUUUCUUUCUGACCAAAUUCAGAUAUCGAUUUGACCUCCGACCAAGCUAUGAUACUAACUCUUUGAUCCAAUGGUGGCUUCACACUCUGGACAAUAUUCCUUUGCAUCGACAGAAAGAAUUCUCAUCUCUUUGCAUGAUCAUCCGGUGGCAGGUUUGGAAAGAAAGAAAUAACAGAAUUUUCAAUGGCAAAGACACCGACUUCAUGGGAACCUGUACCGUGAUAACUGACGAGUUGCACACUUGGUUUCGGGCUGGUGUCAAAGGCGUACAGUGGCUGGCACAGUAGCCUAGUUUUUCAUAUUUUUUUUCCUCCUUCCUUUUUUUCUCUACAUAUGUAAAGUUCCUGGUUGAGGGUGCCAACAACUCUGGUACACCUUGCUCUCAUGUAUUUCCCGGAUGGAUUAUUCCUCUUAAUGAAUGAAAAACAGCAUCUGGCUGUAUUUCGUC